rnacentral:rRNA from 1 species
AGAUUUCCGGGGCUAAAACUUACUACCGAAGCGACGGCAUCAGUAAUGAUGGGUAGGGGAGCUUCCCAUACGGGUUGAAGCAUGACCGUAAGGACAUGGGGACAGUAUGGGAGUGAGAAUGUUGGCAGGAGUAGCGAGAUGUGGGUGGGAAUCCCACAGGCCGUAAACCCAAGGUUUCCAGGGGAAGGUUCGUCCGCCCUGGGUUAGUCGGGACCUAAGCUGAGGCCGAAAGGCGUAGGUGAUGGACAACAGGUUGAUAUUCCUGUACUACCGAU